AUCCGUCUGAUCAAUCUCAGAUAGAACGAAACACGUGUCCUGGAU
rnacentral:hammerhead_ribozyme from 1 species